GGCUGUAAUAUUACCUCCGCUCUUAAAAUAUCCUUCAGUGUUUUGUAAUCAGCUACAGAUGCCAACACAGCAGCUACCCUCCCCGUCAGGAACAAACCCCCCCCAACCCCCAUCACGCUCACCGAGAAGUCUCUUUUAGGCGCCAGUCGCUUGGGGAAGUGGUUGAAGGCGUACAGCUUGGUGCAGACUGGGUAGCGGUUCCGAUGGAUCUUGUAGAACAGUAAGUGUAGAGAUCGAGGACACAGCAGGUUCCCACCACUGCCUCCAGGGGGAUGAUCUCGUAGAGCGGCAUCCGGAACAGCUCGUUCUGAUAGAACCGUCGUGAUGGAGAAUGAUGCGUCUCGUGAGGACGGAAGUAGUGAUGGCCAAAGGCAAACCUCUCACCCCUUCAGAGAUGGAGAAUAUUAAACACUUUGACACAACUCCACACCAAACAAUGACAAGCAAUUACAACUUUAUUUUCCUCACAGUAAGACAUGUUAAGGGCAUCAUCUGGUUGAACUUACUUUUCAUUCUUCCAGAGUUUCUCAAUUCGGAAGAUGUCAAGCUUAUCUCGGUUGACGUGGGACAGGAGACGAUGCACCGGAUGAUGUCGUCGUCCUUGUCAUGGGACCCCGGCCCUCCUCCUCCGUGGUCCCGCUCCAGUGAAUCCGAGCUGUCGGCCUCGCUGGCAGUCUCGCCCACGAUCUCAUCAAUCUGGACGGCGGCUUCAU